GGGGGGGUUCCCGAGUGGCCAAAGGGAGCAGACUGUAAAUCUGCCGGCACUGCCUUCGAUGGUUCGAAUCCGUCCCCCCCA
rnacentral:tRNA from 1 species